rnacentral:lncRNA from 1 species
UAAACCUUAAACUGAACUUUUCCUUUAGUCAGCAUUAGGGUUUUAAAUCCUAAACUGAACUUUUUCCAUGUAGUCAGCAUUAGGGUUUUAAACCCUAAACUGAACUCUUCUCCUUUAGUCAGCAUUAGGGUUUUAAACCCUAAACUGAACUCUUCUCCUUUAGUCAGCAUUAGGGUUUUAAACCUUAAACUGAACUUUUCCUUUAGUCAGCAUUAGGGUUUUAAACUCUAAACUGAACUCUUUUCCUUUAGUCAGCAUUAAGGUUUUAAACCCUAAACUGAACUCUUUUCCUUUAGUCAGCAUUAGGGUUUUAAUCCCUAAACUGAACUCUUUUCCUUCAGUCAGCAUUAGGGUUUUAAACCCUAAACUGAACUCUUUUCCUUUAGUCAGCAUUAGGGUUUUAAACCUUAAACUGAACUCUUUUCCUUUAGUCAGCAUUAGGGUUUUAAUCCCUAAACUGAACUUUUUUCCUUUAGUCAGCAUUAGGGUUUUAAACCCUAAACUGAACAUUUUCCAUUUAGUCAGCAUUAGGGUUUUAAACCUUAAACUGAACUUUUCCUUUAGUCAACAUUAGGGUUUUAAACCCUAAACUGAACUCUUUUCCUUUAGUCAGCAUUAGUGUUUUAAGCCCUAAUCUGAACUCUUUUCCUUCAGUCAGCAUUAAGGUUUUAAACCCUAAACUGAACUCUUUUCCUUCA